ACUUUGGUGAACUGCACGUUACUGGGGAGCUUCCUGAGGUGGCCGCGUAGCUAGCUAGUCAAGUUGUGUACUGUGUAUUUUGUGUUAGUUUUUCAUUUAUAGUACCAAUGAAUUAGUUAAGAUAGUGAAACCUAGGUUUCGCUAGUGCUAGUUAACUUUUAGCUAACGUUAACUUGGUUCUCUGGCUAACUUGGUGGUUUAGUUUAGUGGUUCUAGUGAAUUGAACUGGCGAGCAUUCGCUAACUGUUAGCUCGCUAUCUUGUUUAGCUAGUAGCUUUUGAACGUUAGCUAGCUAGCUAACUAGCUGUGUGUUUUAGUGGUGGUUCUGGCGAACUGAACUAUGUUGAGCUCGCUUUCCAGUUAUGAAGUUUAAGCAGUUGUAAUGUGUCAUUUUUGAUACCCAAUGUAUAGCUAGAUAAUAAAAGGCCACUGCAUUAACUUUUAAAAUGCAAGCCUUCUUUUACAGUAAACGAAAGAUUCAAAUAUUUUUGUAAUUAUGCAUACUGUUCCUUCUAUCAGAACAAAUUAGAGCUGCAACUAGAGAUAAUUGUCAUUUAUUAUUCUGUUGAUUUUUAAUGCAAAUUAAAUAAUGACUGGCUACUUCACAGACCCCUAAUAGUAUGUGUUAAGUUGUAUUGGAAUGAUUGCAGAAAAUGACAAUAGUCGUACCUAGUACAUUUUUUAGCAGCCUCCACUGACUUCACCAGACCUUGCCAGGGCAGUACGCUUCAUGGAAAUCACUGCAUUUGCAUGUUGAGACCAAGAAAUGGUUCUGGUCAGUUUUUAUAAAGCAGACACCAUAGAUGGAUGAGAUCAUCAAAAAAUCAGCAAGCUGAAUGCCGGUUGUUGCAGUAUGAGCAUAAAAAUACCCUUACAAAUCUUCUUUUUCCUGAAGAUCUGUGUUCUACAUAGAAGCACCAGGCACUUCACUAUAAAGAAGCAUCAGAUCCACUACAGAGUAAACUCACAAUGAUCACUGUGUGUAAUAUAGCACUCUUCCUAAGCUGUAGAUUUGAAUUAGAUAAUGCUAAAUCUUAGCAUUGAACGCUUGAAAACGUGUUGUGCAGACUAGUAGUAAUAGUAAUAGUAAACGUUCAAUCGUAAUAGGGGAAAUUGAUUUGACACAGUUCAUUGGCUUUAAAUAACUAAGGUCCUGCUUUGAAAAUAAUAAAGUACAACACUAGAUAAUUUUACUACACUUUUAUUCAUAUAUUCAAUGUAUUUACAUUAUUUUAGAGAAUACUAUAUUAAAGAAGGAUGUUAUAUAGCUCCAA